rnacentral:sRNA from 1 species
AUUCUACCCAUGUGGGGAAGGAUGAGAAGCUUCGACUAAGGUUCGAUUCGAGCGAAAGCGAGAGAACGUUGCCGCAGGCAACGACCCGAAGGGCGAAACGCGCAGCGCUGAGUCAUCCUUCCCCACCACCA